UUCAUUUUGAAUUUAUUGGUUUGGCAGUUUAAAACUACCGAACACCGACCACCCUCCUGGCUCAUUAACUUCAAAAGGACGUCUAUUAAGCACUCUCUGGGCGGCCGCCGUUCGUAUAGCCGAAUGCCACGUGGAACAGAAAACGGCGGCCAUCUUGUUUUCACGAAAGGAGGCAGCGGGACUUGGUCGUUGAGUGUCUGGAACUAAAAUCGGACACUCGACCUCCCGAACCACCGCUGAAACUACC